rnacentral:rRNA from 1 species
GCAUAUCAAUAAGCGGAGGAAAAGAAACCAACAGGGAUUGCCUCAGUAACGGCGAGUGAAGCGGCAAGAGCUCAAAUUUGAAAGCUGGCCCCUUCGGGGUCCGCGUUGUAAUUUGCAGAGGAUGCUUCGGGUGCAGCCCCCGUCUAAGUGCCCUGGAACGGGCCGUCAUAGAGGGUGAGAAUCCCGUCUGGGACGGGGUGUCUGCGUCCGUGUGAAGCUCCUUCGACGAGUCGAGUUGUUUGGGAAUGCAGCUCUAAAUGGGUGGUAAAUUUCAUCUAAAGCUAAAUACUGGCCGGAGACCGAUAGCGCACAAGUAGAGUGAUCGAAAGAUGAAAAGCACUUUGAAAAGAGAGUUAAACAGCACGUGAAAUUGUUGAAAGGGAAGCGUUUGCGACCAGACUCGCCCGCGGGGUUCAGCCGGCAUUCGUGCCGGUGUACUUCCCCGUGGGCGGGCCAGCGUCGGUUUGGGCGGCCGGUCAAAGGCCCUCGGAAUGUAUCACCUCUCGGGGUGUCUUAUAGCCGAUGUGCGUCGCUAAGUGUGGACCUGCCUGGACCGAGGAACGCGCUC